UUGCAGAUUGGGAAUGUCAUAUACGAAGAGGUGAGUCGAGCGUGGAGUCGGGUCUGGUAAAAUUUCUGGCUUCUUUGCCUAUCAUCAGUGCUCUGCUUAGGGCUUUGUUUCGAGGAAGAGUGCCGUGCGUUAUGGCUUUCCGUUUGGUAGGAAGACAAAUGGUUGCUGGUGCUGGUAGGGAUGUGCUUGGAGCACCAACGACGCAAAUCAGGGGAUACUGCCAGCAAACCUCCUCCGUUCCUGAUUACAUAGUUCGUCGUAGUGCUAAAUGUUUUGUUGCCGGGGCAGUAUUAGCUGUUACUGUCAUUCAUCUCGUGUUAAACCCUAAGCUGAAUGAAGCCAGGGAACGGGACCGUGUUCUUCACUUGGAAUGGGAAGCUUCAAAGAAAAGGAUGAACAGUUAAAAGUGUGUAGUUGUGUACUUAUUUAUGAGGAUGUAGCGUUGAUCCUUGUAAAAAUACAUUUCCUACAUGUAGAAAGAUACUUAGCUCUGUGAUCUUGAAUCAGAUCCGUGACAUGAUGUAUGUUUUUUUUUUCUAGGGAAUUGAUUCUCUAAAGAAGUGUCUGCAGUAAAUGCUAAUUUCCGUA